rnacentral:rRNA from 1 species
GACGAACGCUGGCGGCGUGCUUAACACAUGCAAGUCGAACGGAAAGGCCCUGCUUUUGUGGGGUGCUCGAGUGGCGAACGGGUGAGUAACACGUGAGUAACCUGCCCUUGACUUUGGGAUAACUUAAGGAAACUGGGGCUAAUACCGUAUAGGAGCUCCUGCUGCGUGGUGGGGGUUGGAAAGUUUCGGCGGUUGGGGAUGGACUGGCGGCUUAUCAGCUUGUUGGUGGGGUAGUGGCUUACCAAGGCUUUGACGGGUAGCCGGCAUGAGAGGGUGACCGGCCACAUUGGUACUAAGAUACGGACCAGACGCCUACGGGAGGCAGCAGUGGGGAAUAUGGCACAAUGGGCGGAAGCCUGAGGCAGCAACGCCGCGUGCGGAAUGACGGCCUUCGGGUUGUAAACCGCUUUCGCCUGUGACGAAGCGUGAGUGACGGUAAUGGGUAAAGAAGCACCGGCUAACUACGUG